AUUGAACGCUGGCGGCAUGCUUUACACAUGCAAGUCGAACGGUAACAGGCCGCAAGGUGCUGACGAGUGGCGAACGGGUGAGUAAUGUAUCGGAACGUGCCCAGUCGUGGGGGAUAACGCAGCGAAAGCUGCGCUAAUACCGCAUACGAUCUAUGGAUGAAAGCGGGGGACCGUAAGGCAUCGCGCGAUUGGAGCGGCCGAUAUCAGAUUAGGUAGUUGGUGGGGUAAAGGCUCACCAAGCCAACGAUCUGUAGCUGGUCUGAGAGGACGACCAGCCACACUGGGACUGAGACACGGCCCAGACUCCUACGGGAGGCAGCAGUGGGGAAUUUUGGACAAUGGGCGCAAGCCUGAUCCAGCAAUGCCGCGUGCAGGAAGAAGGCCUUCGGGUUGUAAACUGCUUUUGUACGGAACGAAACGGUCUGGGUUAAUACCUCGGGCUAAUGACGGUACCGUAAGAAUAAGCACCGGCUAACUACGUGCCAGCCGCCGCAGUAAAAC
rnacentral:rRNA from 1 species